GACGAACGCUGGCGGCGUGCUUAACACAUGCAAGUCGAACGGAAAGGCCCUGCUUUUGUGGGGUGCUCGAGUGGCGAACGGGUGAGUAACACGUGAGUAACCUGCCCUUGACUUUGGGAUAACUUCAGGAAACUGGGGCUAAUACCGGAUAGGAGCUCCUGCUGCAUGGUGGGGGUUGGAAAGUUUCGGCGGUUGGGGAUGGACUCGCGGCUUAUCAGCUUGUUGGUGGGGUAGUGGCUUACCAAGGCUUUGACGGGUAGCCGGCCUGAGAGGGUGACCGGCCACAUUGGGACUGAGAUACGGCCCAGACUCCUACGGGAGGCAGCAGUGGGGAAUAUUGCAUAAUGGGCGGAAGCCUGAUGCAGCAACGCCGCGCGCGGGAUGACGGCCUUCGGGUUGUAAACCGCUUUCGCCUGUGACGAAGCGUGAGUGACGGUAAUGGGUAAAGAAGCACCGGCUAACUACGUG
rnacentral:rRNA from 1 species